AACGAACGCUGGCGGCAUGCCUAACACAUGCAAGUCGAACGAGACCUUCGGGUCUAGUGGCGCACGGGUGCGUAACGCGUGGGAACCUGCCCUUAGGUUCGGAAUAACUCCCCGAAAGGGGUGCUAAUACCGGAUAAUGUCUUCGGACCAAAGAUUUAUCGCCUUUGGAUGGGCCCGCGUUGGAUUAGCUAGUUGGUAGGGUAAAAGCCUACCAAGGCGACGAUCCAUAGCUGGUCUGAGAGGAUGAUCAGCCACACUGGGACUGAGACACGGCCCAGACUCCUACGGGAGGCAGCAGUGGGGAAUAUUGGACAAUGGGCGGAAGCCUGAUCCAGCAAUGCCGCGUGAGUGAUGAAGGCCUUAGGGUUGUAAAGCUCUUUUACCUGGGAUGAUAAUGACAGUACCGGGAGAAUAAGCUCCGGCUAACUCCGUG
rnacentral:rRNA from 1 species